AGAGUUUGAUCCUGGCUCAGGAUGAACGCUAGCGGCAGGCUUAAUACAUGCAAGUCGAACGGUUACAGCAAUGUGACGAGUGGCGCACGGGUGAGUAACGCGUACAUAACAUACCUUUAACUGGCGAAUAGCCUUGGGAAACUGAGAGUAAUACGCCAUAACAUUGUAGCUUGGCAUCAGGCAGCAAUUAAAGUUCCGGCGGUUAGAGAUUGAUGUGCGUUGGAUUAGAUAGUUGGUGAGGUAACGGCUCACCAAGUCAACGAUCCAUAGGGGGCGUGAGAGCGUGGUCCCCCACACGGGUACUGAGACACGGACCCGACUCCUACGGGAGGCAGCAGUAAGGAAUAUUGGUCAAUGGGGGCAACCCUGAACCAGCCAUGCCGCGUGCGGGAUGAAGGCGUUCUGCGUCGUAAACCGCUUUUAGAGGGGAAUAAAUCCCGAUACGUGUAUCGGACUGAAGGUACCCUCGGAAUAAGCACCGGCUAACUCCGCGCCAGCAGCCGCGGUAAUACGGAGGGUGCAAGCGUUAUCCGGAAUCACUGGGUUUAAAGGGUGCGUAG
rnacentral:rRNA from 1 species